rnacentral:misc_RNA from 1 species
CACCUAGACUGACUCGAUUCAUAGGAUCCGUGGGGGGAUCCAAGCUUCCUCCUCAGUGGCGGUGGACCUGCUGGCUGCCUCAGUUCGCCCUCCAGACUCUCAGCUCCUGACCUGGCGCCCUGUGACGUGUGAGGAUGUUCUACGGAUUGUGACUAGCUUGAGCAAAUCUUCAAAGCAUUGUCCUGUAUGGCCUCACGCUUUGGGGUGGAGCCACAGAUGUUUCACGAGUGUUACUCAUUCAGAAGAGGGCCCUGAGGAUCCUUUGUGGUGCUGAGCGUCUUGCCCAUUGUCGUCCCCUCUUUGUGAGAGAGAGAAUCCUCACAGUCUUCUCCCUCUAUGUACUUCAGACCCUCUGCAGAACACAUGCAAAUGUGGGGGAGCUUGUAACAAGGCAGAAUUUUCACUCACAUGAGACUAGAGGGAGACAGAGGCUGGACGAGCCCUACCAAAGACUGAGUAGGACACGAUCGAGCUAUGGCCAUCUAUCUGUCAGGCUCUUCAACAAGCUGCCGGUGAUGGCUAGGAAUCUGCCUGCCGGCAAAUUUCGGAGGGUCCUGAGAGACUUAUUGUUGGAUAAUCCUUUGUACUCA